rnacentral:rRNA from 1 species
CAAGCGGUGGACAUGUGGUUUAUUCGAUGCAACGCGAAGAACCUUACCUACUCUUGACAUCCAGAGAACUUAGCAGAGAUGCUUUGGUGCCUUCGGGAACUCUGAGACAGGUGCUGCAUGGCUGUCGUCAGCUCGUGUUGUGAAAUGUUGGGUUAAGUCCCGCAACGAGCGCAACCCUUAUCCUUUGUUGCCAGCGAUUCGGCCGGGAACUCAAAGGAGACUGCCAGUGAUAAACUGGAGGAAGGUGGGGAUGACGUCAAGUCAUCAUGGCCCUUACGAGUAGGGCUACACACGUGCUACAAUGGCAUAUACAAAGAGAAGCGACCUCGCGAGAGCAAGCGGACCUCAUAAAGUAUGUCGUAGUCCGGAUUGGAGUCUGCAACUCGACUCCAUGAAGUCGGAAUCGCUAGUAAUCGUGGAUCAGAAUGCCACGGUGAAUACGUUCCCGGGCCUUGUACACACCGCCCGUCACACCAU